GAUGAACGCUGGCGGCGUGCCUAAUACAUGCAAGUCGAGCGCAGCGGGGGCGGGUGAGUACGACUUGGAUACCCUCCUAUACGACUGGGAUAACGUCGGGAAACCGGAGCUAAACCGGCUACUUCGAGAUUGCUCCGCGCUGCAUUCGCUGGUUGUUAAGGUAACGGCUUACCAAGGCAACGCGGCAUAGCCGACCUGAGAGGGUGAUAGGCCACACUGGAACUGAGACACGGCCCAGACUCCUACGGGAGGCAGCAGUAGGGAAUCUUCCGCAAUGGGCGAAAGCCUGACGGAGCAACGCCGCGUGAGUGAUGAAGGUUUUCGGAUCGUAAAACUCUGUUAUUAGGGAAGCGGUACCUAAUCAGAAAGCCACGGCUAACUACGUGCCAGCAGCCGCGGUAAUAC
rnacentral:rRNA from 1 species